rnacentral:rRNA from 1 species
CCUACGGGUGGCUGCAGUGGGGAAUAUUGGGCAAUGGAGGCAACUCUGACCCAGCAACGCCGCGUGAAUGAGGAAGGUCUUCGGAGUGUAAAGUUCUUUUCUAAGGGAAGAAGAAAGUGACGGUACCUUAGUCAUAAGCCUCGGCUAACUACGUGCCAGCAGCCGCGGUAAUACGUAGGAGGCAAGAGUUAUCCGGAAUGACUGGGCGUAAAGGGUGCGGAGGUGGUUGGACAAGUUGGUAGCGUAACUCCGGAGCUCAACUUCGGAACUACUACCAAAACUGUUGGACGGGAGUGCAGGAGGGGCGAGUGGAAUUUCUAGUGUAGCGGUGGAAUGCGUAGAUAUUAGGAAGAACACCGGUGGCGAAGGCGAGUUGCUGGACUGUAACUGACGCUGAGGCACGAAAGCGUGGGGAGCAAACAGGAUUAGAUACCCGGGUAGUC